rnacentral:tRNA from 1 species
GGGGAUAUUUCUUAAUUGGUAGAGAGCUCGUUUUGCAUAUGAGUAGUGCUGGUUCAAGUCCGGCUAUCUCCA